rnacentral:ncRNA from 7 species
CAAAGUGCUCAUAGUGCAGGUAGU